CCGCCCGUCACAUCACGAAAGUGGAUUGUACUAGAAGUCCGUGCGCAACCGCAAGGAGGCAGCGGCCCAAGGUAUGAUUCAUGAUUGGGGUG
rnacentral:rRNA from 1 species